GAAUCAUGCUGGCCCUGUGAUGGGCCUUCAUAGAACUUCGAGGAGCUGGUGGACUUGGAAGGCAGCUGUUCUGGUGCUGUUCUGCUGUAUGAGAAAUCCUGUUUUGUGGGAAGAUGUCAGAGCUGCCCUUGGCAUGAAGCUGCUGGGUGUCAAGAAAGAUCAAGUUAAAUUGAAAUCACCAUGGGAAAUCGGUAAAGAAGGGGAUAAACUGCAGUUGUAAUGCUCUACACAAGAAGGCUAAUGCUGGACAUAUACAUUUGAGGGUUGAAGAAAUCGUGUGCUCAUGUGCCCCAGGAGCUGAGGUCUCACUGUUCACAACAUACUCACUGCGAGGCCUGGCUGGGAGAUGCCUCCAACAGGUCAGUUGGUUUGUAAGAACGUUCUGUUUAUACAU
rnacentral:lncRNA from 1 species